GACGAACGCUGGCGGCGUGCUUAACACAUGCAAGUCGAACGGAAAGGCCCUGCUUUUGUGGGGUGCUCGAGUGGCGAACGGGUGAGUAACACGUGAGUAACCUGCCCUUGACUUUGGGAUAACUUCAGGAAACUGGGGCUAAUACCGGAUAGGAGCUCCUGCUGCAUGGGGGGGGUUGGAAAGUUUCGGCGGUUGGGGAUGGACUCGCGGCUUAUCAGCUUGUUGGUGGGGUAGUGGCUUACCAAGGCUUUGACGGGUAGCCGGCCUGAGAGGGUGACCGGCCACAUUGGGACUGAGAUACGGCCCAGACUCCUACGGGAGGCAGCAGUGGGGAAUAUUGCACAAUGGGCGGAAGCCUGAUGCAGCAACGCCGCGUGCGGGAUGACGGCCUUCGGGUUGUAAACCGCUUUCGCCUGUGACGAAGCGUGAGUGACGGUAAUGGGUAAAGAAGCACCGGCUAACUACGU
rnacentral:rRNA from 1 species